AAAAGAGAGCACUCUCACGAAGUUUCCAACUGAUUGAACAGUUCAGCUAUUUAUUCUCAUGGAAUAUUGAAUUCAAGUGAUGCAUUGAAAAUGGAUGCCUUUCCUGGAAUUAUUUCUGUUGUGGUUUUUGUUGCGGUUGUGAUUUCUUCCUCUAUUUCACUGAGGCUUUUGGGCAAAGAACCUGUGGCAUCUAACACAAAUAUAUCCACAUGGAUUUUGAACUGUGCACUUGCGAAUUAUCUUCAUUGUUUGUUUAUUCUACCCAUUGGAAUAGGAUUUCAUUCAUUGGGUUUACAAGAUUUACAUAUCGUUGAAGAUAUUUGGAUGGAGUUAGAGACACCGUUUUCUCUGCAGUUUCAUUCCGUGGCUUUCCUGUUUGUGAUAUUUUCCGAAUACAUGAAAAUUCGACAAAUUUCGAAGAUAAAGGCCCAUGCUCUCGUGUUUCUGAGUGUGUUUGUGACCUCUCUAUGUUUUAUGUUCCCGCAAAUCAUAAUCAGAGCUACUAAUACAGAGGAUCUGACAAAUGCCACGGAUUCAUUUGACAGCUUUGGUCUGGCAAAGUCCGAUUCCUUGAACAAUUAUCUGCUUCUUUGUACAGCAAUAACGGGUGUUUUACUGCCGGGUUUCUUAAUCGUCGUUUGUCAUCCAUUUACAAAACACAUCUUUCUGUCCAUUCAACAGAAUCAAGAAAAGGCCAAUAUGCAAAUUUCGGAAAAUGGUCCCAAUGCGGGUUUUACAGAAGCCACAGAUACACGUGGGGAGUUAUCGCGCAUCAGAGACCAAGAUUCAAAUGACAUAGAAUUAGAAUAUAUAACGGAAAAUGAAAACACAGAAAUCAAGCAGCAUGGAAAUGACAGGGAAGAGACAGACAAACAUCUUGAAGCAAAACUAAUACAGUUCCGGGAAAUGCAAAAGCGUUUGCGUCAUUGUGGAAUGAUGACGUCAUCGUGUGAUGAUUUAGAAGCCGGGUCUGAAGAGGACAGUUACAGCUAUGACACUCCUGAAACGGAAGCUGACUGCCCGAUGAUACGAAAGUUUUAUGUGAACGUUUUUGUACAUUUUUUGUUUUGGUUGCCUUGGCUGGGGGCAGAAUUUGCAAAUUGGAGCUGUCAUUUUUGUAAUGUCAGUAAACCAGCAAUGUUUCUUGUAUCCCUCAUUCCGUGCGUCGGGAUGAUUUUUACUCCAGCCUUGAUUACUAUAAAAAAAAUUGCUGGAAACUGUUCCUGAUAAAAUUUAUCUGUAAUUUGUUUCAUUAUAUAUAAUAAAAAUUAAUUUUUAGUCAC
rnacentral:sRNA from 1 species